AUAUAGCUGACGAGUCCCAUAUAGGACGAAAAGCAUGUCCUGGAU
rfam:Schistosoma margrebowiei strain Zambia genome assembly, scaffold: SMRZ_scaffold0000006